rnacentral:rRNA from 1 species
GUGCCAGCCGCCGCGGUAAUACGAAGGGGGCUAGCGUUGUUCGGAAUUACUGGGCGUAAAGGGCGCGCAGGCGGCCGCUCAAGUCAGAUGUGAAAGCCCCGGGCUCAACCUGGGAACUGCAUUUGAUACUGAGUGGCUAGAGUUCGGGAGAGGAGAGUGGAAUUCCCAGUGUAGAGGUGAAAUUCGUAGAUAUUGGGAAGAACACCGGUGGCGAAGGCGGCUCUCUGGACCGAUACUGACGCUGAGGCGCGAAAGCGUGGGGAGCAAACAGGAUUAGAUACCCUUGUAGUCC